AACGAACGCUGGCGGCAGGCCUAACACAUGCAAGUCGAGCGCGCCCUUCGGGGUGAGCGGCGGACGGGUGAGUAACGCGUGGGAACGUGCCCUUUUCUACGGAAUAGCCUCGGGAAACUGAGAGUAAUACCGUAUACGCCCUUUGGGGGAAAGAUUUAUCGGAAAGGGAUCGGCCCGCGUUGGAUUAGGUAGUUGGUGGGGUAAUGGCCUACCAAGCCGACGAUCCAUAGCUGGUUUGAGAGGAUGAUCAGCCACACUGGGACUGAGACACGGCCCAGACUCCUACGGGAGGCAGCAGUGGGGAAUCUUAGACAAUGGGGGCAACCCUGAUCUAGCCAUGCCGCGUGAGUGAUGAAGGCCUUAGGGUUGUAAAGCUCUUUCAGCUGGGAAGAUAAUGACGGUACCAGCAGAAGAAGCCCCGGCUAACUCCGUG
rnacentral:rRNA from 1 species